CAGUCGCCGCGGGAAUACAGAGGGUGCGAGCGUUAAUCGGAUUUACUGGGCGUAAAGCGUGCGUAGGCGGCUUUUUAAGUCGGAUGUGAAAUCCCUGAGCUUAACUUAGGAAUUGCAUUCGAUACUGGGAAGCUAGAGUAUGGGAGAGGAUGGUAGAAUUCCAGGUGUAGCGGUGAAAUGCGUAGAGAUCUGGAGGAAUACCGAUGGCGAAGGCAGCCAUCUGGCCUAAUACUGACGCUGAGGUACGAAGGCCAGGGGAGCAAACGGGAUUAGAUACCCCCGUAGUCCCUGUCUCUUAUAC
rnacentral:rRNA from 1 species